rnacentral:rRNA from 1 species
AUUGAACGCUGGCGGCAUGCUUUACACAUGCAAGUCGAACGGUAACAGGCCUUCGGGUGCUGACGAGUGGCGAACGGGUGAGUAAUGCAUCGGAACGUACCCAGAGGUGGGGGAUAACGCAGCUAAAGCUGUGCUAAUACCGCAUGUGAUCUGAGGAUGAAAGCGGGGGACCGAGCAGCAAUGUUUGGCCUCGCGCCUUUGGAGCGGCCGAUGUCGGAUUAGCUAGUUGGUGGGGUAAAGGCCUACCAAGGCGACGAUCCGUAGCUGGUCUGAGAGGACGACCAGCCACACUGGGACUGAGCCACGGACCAGACUCCUACGGGAGGCAGCAAUGGGGAAUUUUGGACAAUGGGCGCAAGCCUGAUCCAGCAAUGCCGCGUGCGGGACGAAGGCCUUCGGGUUGUAAACCGCUUUUGGCAGGAACGAAACGGUGUCCGCUAAUACCGGGCGCUAAUGACGGUACCUGCAGAAUAAGCACCGGCUAACUACGUG